rnacentral:miRNA from 1 species
CAGGGAACCUACUUAAAUUUAACUUUUAAACAAACAAUGAAUAAUAGUAAAUGUAAGUGUGUCCCAUGCAAUAUUUAGGACAUACUUAUACUAAAAAAUGACCUGUUUUUUAUCUGAAAUUCAAAUGAAGUA